CCUCACAAUAAUUAAUCCCGGUCUUUUUUCAAUGCAUGCACUUUAUCUUUGUACAGCACGUCAUGAAUGUGUUAGCAUUUAGUGAAGCCCAUUAAUUAAUUCCUAUGUUUGAAUGAGAGGGGAGAGAGGACACAAUUAGAAGGGGUGCGCGGGGCAAAAACUAAUGCGGGGUUAGUUGUAACACGGACUGUUUACUUUGUUGCACAAGGUUGAGCGUUUUGUUUUUCCUGUAUUUUUUCACGCUGUCAAAAAGACGAUCUCCCGCAAAUUAUUGGAAAUGUACACUGUUAGAUGUCGCUGUAGAUUUAGCAGCACUGUACUGUAAAAAUCCACAGUACUAUACUGUAUGUGUACAUUACAGUAAAGUACUGCAGUUCAUAGUGCAUUCUGGGUAAAUUUGUUUGAGCGGGAAAAUUUUACAGUAUAUUUUGGUCUUGAUGUAACCUUGCUGUAGCCAUUGCUGUAAUGUGCCAGGUGUACUUGCAAUAAUCAGAGAAAGUGCGCACGAGUCAAAUCACACAGAGGGAGAGAGAGCACAACUCCUGGCUGCAGCUGAAGAAGGAGGACGAUUGAUUUCUGUCAGUUCGCUCUAACGUUACAGUUUGCUCCACUUUGCUCUGUGGUUUAUAUGUUUUCUUCUUACCAUUGCUUGUAAGCUGGAUUGAGUAAGAUGGAUCAUCUUUAAAGGAACCAGGAGUUAAGGCAGAUGUGGAGGCACACGGGUGACACCAGACACACACCAAGCACAUUGUUCGGACAUUCAAUCAUGACAUGAUCCAUGUGGAUGCUGUCCAUUGAGGAAAGAGUUUGUUCAGAGGUUUCUGGACAGAAUUAAUCCCAAAGAUGGGAAAAAGUGCACAUCCACACAAGGAGCAAGCAAAAAGACAAGGAACUUGGUGCAGAGAAAAGCUGUGGCCAUUAACCCCCAUGUGAACAGCUUCAUGCAGUCCCUGAUAGAGUUUGAAUGGGCGACUUCAAACUAAAGGCCAGUGUCAGUCUGCCACAGUUUAAUGCAUUUAUUUUUAGUGUUCAAUAAAAUUCAAAUAGAAUAUUUAAAACUAUGGGCCAGUGUUCUUUUUACCACAGUUAAAUGUUACCUUUUAGUUGAUGAUGGACUUAAAACUUCAAACUAUGGAACAGUGUUCUUUUUACCACAGUCAAAUGUUACCUUUUAGUCGAUGAUGGACUUUAAACUGAAAACUUCAAACUAUGGACCAGUGUUCUAUUUGCCAGAGUUAAAUAUAUUACAGCAGGGGCCUCCAAACUUGUUUAUACUUUAUAAUAUUUUAUUUUAUUUUACUUGUUUAUUAUUGUUUAUCUUGUUUUAAAUGAUUGUUUCAACUACAUGUUUUUUUAAUAAAAUUUUUGAUAUAAACAUUGCUUGGAUUGCCUUUUAAUUCAUAAUGUCAUGUCAAGGAUAGCAUUUUUUUACUAUAUUAAUAACUAUAGAUUUAAACCUAAAUAUCUAGCUAUAAUACAUUAUUGUAUUAACUGUAAUAAGUAAUAAAUAGUAUUUAUGGGUCAAUAUAGACAUUACAGUAAAUUACUGUAAAAAUAGGCUAUUAUUGUAAAAUUACAGUACAGUACUGCUUUGUAACUAUACGGUACUAGUUUGUGUACUGUAAAACUGGAUUACAGUACAGUACUGUAGAACCAAAAUACAGUAACUUACUGGCAACCGUGCUGCCAGUACCGUACUGUAAAAAUACAGGGAAAUCGUUAACAGUGUAUGUUUUUCCAGAGAGUU